CAAUAGCGUAUAUUAAAGUUAGUUGCAGUUAAAAAGACUCGUAGUCGGAUUUUGGUACCAAGCCGAACGGUCUGCCGAACGGUAUGCACUGUUUAGCGGGUACUUCCUUCCGGAAGCCCGUGCUCUCCUUAAUUGGAUGGCACGGUGAGUCCGGAUCAUUUACUUUGAAAAAAUUAAGAGUGUUCAAAGCAGGCCUAUGCUCUGAAUAGCUUAGCAUGGAAUAAUAGAAUAGGACUUCGGUACUAUUUUGUUGGUUUCUAGGUACCGAAGUAAUGAUUAAUAGGGACAGUUAGGGGGGCAUUUAUAUUCCAUUGUCAGAGGUGAAAUUCUUGGAUUAACGGAAGAUAAACUACUGCGAAAGCAUCUGCCAAGGAUGUUUUCAUUGAUUCAAGAACGAAAGUUAGGGGAUCG
rnacentral:rRNA from 1 species